AUCGUUCAAUUUAAGAAUUUUUCUUAAAUCGGAAGUAAGUCAUUGACUGAAGGAACGCAUG
ncrna:unclassified sequences Glutamine riboswitch